UACAGGAAAAGUACAAAGAUCGACUGAACACAGACGACUCCCAGGAUUUUCCUCACAUCCAAGGAGCUCAGACACAAAGACAAAUGUGUAGAACUGUGAACCCUGGCCCAGUUUAACUGAACCCAACAUAUUCAGGUCUGACAUGUGGGAAAAGGCCAAUUGUCUGACACACAAAAAGAUCUCAUACUCACACUCACAGCUGAUAACAAGACCAGGUCCUCACCUCUUUGGGCCAGAAGGCACGUCCCUGCUGUGUGUCCUCUAGAUAAUCCCGGAUGAUAU